GGUCGGAUAGUGUAGUCGGUUAUCACAUCCCCUUAACACGGGGAAGGUCCUGGGAUCAAGCCCCAGUCUGAUCA
rnacentral:tRNA from 1 species